GCCCCGCCGGCUCAGCGCCGCGGGCGCCGCCGCCGCCGCGAUGAUGAUGAUGGCGCUGAGCAAGACCUUCGGGCAGAAGCCCGUCAAGUUCCAGCUGGAGGAGGACGGCGAGUUCUACAUGAUCGGCUCCGAGGUGGGGAAUUAUCUGCGUAUGUUCCGGGGCUCCCUGUACAAGAGAUACCCCUCGUUGUGGAGGCGACUAGCCACAGUGGAAGAGAGAAAGAAGAUAGUGGCAUCUUCACACGAAAAUCAGCGAUCUCACAGUCCAAGAAGAUAUCAUGGCUAUACAACAUUAGCCACUAGUGUGACGCUGUUAAAAGCCUCUGAAGUGGAAGAGAUUUUGGAUGGAAAUGAUGAGAAGUAUAAGGCAGUAUCUAUCAGCACAGAACCUCCCACCUACCUCAGGGAACAGAAGGCAAAGAGGAACAACCAGUGGGUGCCGACCCUGCCGAACAGUUCUCAUCACCUGGAUGCAGUGCCAUGCUCAACAACAAUUAACAGGAAUCGCAUGGGCAGGGAUAAGAAGAGGACCUUUCCUCUCUGCUUUGAUGACCAUGACCCAGCAGUGAUUCAUGAGAACGCAUCCCAGCCAGAGGUACUGGUUCCAAUCAGGCUCGAUAUGGAAAUUGAUGGGCAGAAACUCAGAGAUGCGUUUACAUGGAACAUGAAUGAAAAGCUAAUGACCCCAGAAAUGUUCUCUGAGAUUCUUUGUGAUGACCUGGAUUUGAAUCCUCUGACUUUUGUCCCUGCUAUUGCUUCUGCCAUCCGACAACAGAUAGAGUCGUAUCCAACUGACAGUAUUCUAGAGGACCAGUCAGAUCAACGAGUUAUUAUUAAGCUAAACAUCCAUGUAGGGAACAUCUCCCUUGUAGACCAAUUUGAAUGGGACAUGUCAGAGAAAGAGAAUUCACCAGAGAAGUUUGCCUUGAAGCUGUGCUCAGAGCUUGGCCUGGGUGGGGAGUUUGUCACCACUAUUGCCUACAGCAUCCGGGGACAGCUGAGUUGGCAUCAGAAGACGUACGCCUUCAGUAACCCAGAGGAGUGCACGGUCAGACCACUGAUGAACGUUGCAUUGUUGCCUUCUGCCCUGCCACUGCAGCGAGAACCCUUUGCCCACUGUGGAAAUUGCCAUUCGCAACACAGGGGAUGCUGACCAGUGGUGCCCUCUUCUGGAAACCCUCACUGAUGCUGAGAUGGAGAAGAAGAUCAGAGACCAGGACAGAAAUACAAGGCGCAUGAGACGUUUGGCCAAUACUGCUCCAGCCUGGUAGUCCUCCUGUUGUGACACUGGUGCUCUUCCUACAGACUUUAUCCCUACUCCUCUCCCAAAAUGGAUCUAGGAUUGGCAGGGGUCCCUCUGUCCCCAAAAAGGGACACACAUUCCACUUGCCAAGCAGUUCCCAGUACUGCUGACUUCUGCCCCCAUCCCCUCCAUCUAAAUGCCACAUCCUGAGAAUGCUGCAUUAGCAUGUGAUCUGUCUGAGACCUGUGGCAGCUGUUGGAGCCCUUACAUACCUGUGUGUGGACAGUGUAAAGAUUCUUUUGUAUAGGUGCAACAUGCACUGUUAGGACAACUUUUUAAAUAAAAGGAAUGUAUACUACUUA